rnacentral:rRNA from 1 species
GAUGAACGCUGGCGGCGUGCCUAAUACAUGCAAGUCGAGCGAACAGAUAAGGAGCUUGCUCCUUUGCCGUUAGCGGCGGACGGGUGAGUAACACGUGGGUAACCUACCUAUAAGACUGGGAUAACUUCGGGAAACCGGUGCUAAUACCGGAUCAUAUUUCGAACCGCAUGGUUCGAUAGUGAAAGAUGGUUUUGCUAUCACUUAUAGAUGGACCCGCGCCGUAUUAGCUAGUUGGUAAGGUAACGGCUUACCAAGGCGACGAUACGUAGCCGACCUGAGAGGGUGAUCGGCCACACUGGAACUGAGACACGGUCCAGACUCCUACGGGAGGCAGCAGUGGGGAAUCUUCCGCAAUGGGCGAAAGCCUGACGGAGCAACGCCGCGUGAGUGAUGAAGGUCUUCGGAUCGUAAAACUCUGUUAUUAGGGAAGAACAUAAGUGUAAGUAACUGUGCACGUCUUGACGGUACCUAAUCAGAAAGCCACGGCUAACUACGUG